rnacentral:tRNA from 4 species
GGGCGGUUAGCUCAGUUGGGAGAGCGCGGCGUUCGCAACGCUGAGGCCGGGAGUUCGAGUCUCCUACCGUCCACCA